rnacentral:rRNA from 1 species
UUGAACGCUGGCGGCAGGCCUAACACAUGCAAGUCGCACGGUAACAGGAAACAGCUUGCUGUUUCGCUGACGAGUGGCGGACGGGUGAGUAAUGUCUGGGAAACUGCCUGAUGGAGGGGGAUAACUACUGGAAACGGUAGCUAAUACCGCAUAACGUCGCAAGACCAAAGAGGGGGACCUUCGGGCCUCUUGCCAUCGGAUGUGCCCAGAUGGGAUUAGCUAGUAGGUGGGGUAACGGCUCACCUAGGCGACGAUCCCUAGCUGGUCUGAGAGGAUGACCAGCCGCACUGGAACUGAGACACGGUCCAGACUCCUACGGGAGGCAGCAGUGGGGAAUAUUGCACAAUGGGCGCAAGCCUGAUGCAGCCAUGCCGCGCGUAUGAAGAAGGCCUUCGGGUUGUAAAGUACUUUCAGCGGGGAUGAAGGGAGUAAAGUUAAUACCUUUGCUCAUUGACGUUACCCGCAGAAGAAGCACCGGCUAACUCCGUG